GGCUCCCCAUUCGACCCGU
rnacentral:snRNA from 1 species